GAUGAAGAACGUAGUGAAAUGCGAUAAGUAGUGUGAAUUGCAGAAUUCAGUGAAUCAUCGAAUCUUUGAACGCACAUUGCGCCCCCUGGUAUUCCGGGGGGCAUGCCUGUCCGAGCGUCAUUACAACCCUCAAGCUCAGCUUGGUGUUGGGCCCCGCCGCCCCGGCGGGCCCUAAAGUCAGUGGCGGUGCCGUCCGGCUCCGAGCGUAGUAAUUCUUCUCGCUCUGGAGGUCCGGUCGUGUGCUCGCCAGCAACCCCCAAUUUUUUUCAGGUUGACCUCGGAUCAGGUAGGGAUACCCGCUGAACUUAAGCAUAUCAAUAAGCGGAGGA
rnacentral:misc_RNA from 1 species